rnacentral:tRNA from 1 species
GGGGAUGUGGCUUAGUGGUACAGUACUUGCCUAGCAUGCAUGAAACCUUGGGUUCAAUUCCUCAGUUCCA